GAAGUCAAAAGUCAAUUCUGGAUCUUUGAUAGUGCUGCAAAGUGCUCCUCUGCUACUUAUCUUCUCGCCACUUUCCUUGGUUAUCACGCCAGAUUGAUUUUUGAUUAUUGAUGAAUGAAUGUAUAGACCACAUGGUGACAGUAACAGAGGGUUAGUUUGGAAACUUCUAAGGCUUGUCCGGUAUGCAUCCCUGUGCACCUUUUUUCUUGGUCUUCUUGGUGAAUGAAUGUGUAGACCACAUGGUAAUGUGCUUCAAUAAAAAUGGGGGUUCUCAA
rnacentral:lncRNA from 1 species